rnacentral:rRNA from 11 species
CGGAUUAAUUCGAUGCAACGCGAAGAACCUUACCAAGGCUUGACAUAUAGAGGAAAAGUGUAGAAAUACACUCCCCGCAAGGUCUCUAUACAGGUGGUGCAUGGUUGUCGUCAGCUCGUGUCGUGAGAUGUUGGGUUAAGUCCCGCAACGAGCGCAACCCCUAUCCCUAGUUGCUAGCAGUUCGGCUGAGAACUCUAGGGAGACUGCCGGUGACAAACCGGAGGAAGGUGGGGAUGACGUCAGGUCAUCAUGGCCCUUACGGCCAGGGCUACACACGUGCUACAAUGGUGCGCACAGAGGGCUGCAAACCCGCGAGGGGGAGCUAAUCUCACAAAACGCAUCGUAGUCCGGAUCGGAGUCUGCAACUCGACUCCGUGAAGUCGGAAUCGCUAGUAAUCGUGAAUCAGAAUGUCACGGUGAAUACGUUCCCGGGCCUUGUACACACCGCCCGUCACAUCAUGGGAAUUGGUUCUACCCGAAGACGCUGUGCUAACUUCGGAGGCAGGCGGCCACGGUAGGAUCAGUGACUGGGAUGAAGUCGUAACAAGGUAGCCGUAGGGGAACCUGCGGCUGGAUCAC